rnacentral:tmRNA from 1 species
UUAAAGAGUCGGCUAAGCAUGUAGAUCCAAUGGCAGAGGAUUUGCGGACGCGAGUUCGAUUCUCGCCGCCUCCACCA